GUGUCAGCAGCCGCGGUAAUACGUAGGGGUCUAGCGUUGUCCGGAAUCAUUGGGCGUAAAGAGCUCGUAGGCGGUUCGAUUAGUCGGGUGUGAAAUCUCCACGCUCAACGUGGAGGGGCCACUCGAUACUGUCGUGACUCGAGUCCGGUAGGGGAGUUCGGAAUUCCCGGUGUAGCGGUGAAAUGCGCAGAUAUCGGGAGGAACACCAGUGGCGAAGGCGGAACUCUGGGCCGGAACUGACGCUGAGGAGCGAAAGCGUGGGGAGCGAACAGGAUUAGAAACCCGGGUAGUCC
rnacentral:rRNA from 1 species